UACGUAGGGUGCGAGCGUUAAUCGGAAUUACUGGGCGUAAAGCGUGCGCAGGCGGUUCGUUAAGUUCGUUGUGAAAGCCCCGGGCUCAACCUGGGAACUGCAUUGGUGACUGGCAGGCUUUGAGUGUGGCAGAGGGAGGUAGAAUUCCACGUGUAGCAGUGAAAUGCGUAGAGAUGUGGAGGAAUACCGAUGGCGAAGGCAGCCCCCUGGGUCAAUACUGACGCUCAUGCACGAAAGCGUGGGGAGCAAACAGG
rnacentral:rRNA from 1 species